rnacentral:lncRNA from 1 species
AUUGGGUGCUGCUAGAUGUACAGAACGUUUCCUUACAGAGUCUUCACAGAAUGACGUGGCAGUUGAGGAUUAUUAAAAAAAAAAAAAAAACAAAUGGACAAAACAAACGUCUCCAGUGAUUUCCUUAUUUCAUUCCCGUCUGCCUCUCCACCUGAAAUUGGGAACCCUAGAAUCACGCCUCUUUCAACUUCCGACCGGUGCCACCAUCCUUCUCAACCUCCGACGACAAUUUUAAAUGUGGCCAGAUUUGCAAUCACCAAAAGCAUAGUGAAAUCGGGUCCUUCAUCUUCACCACCGGCGACAAACGCCACAUUCUUGGUCGACUCAGUCCACAACAACUAGGUAUCUUCACCUUCGUCCAGGAACUCCAACUGAUUUCCACCGUCGACAAUAAACUCAGCCCACAACAACAAUAUUAUCUGUGAAACGUUGUGAAGAAGGAAGUUUAGAAAAUUGUGAAAAAUGGUCAAAAAAGUUUUGAAGAACGAUUUGAAGCUUGUUCAGUAUGCAACUGUUGUGAGAAUCAAACAAAUUCCCUAUUCUCUGUAAAUUGUGAAAAACGUUUUGAAGUUUGUUCAAUAUGUAAUUGUUGUGAGAAACUAGUGUAAUUCCCUUUUCUCUGUAAAUUGUUGGGAGAAACUAGUGUAAUCUUCUUGCUGUAUUAUACUAUUUUUCUGUUAUAUCUCUCAAAUUGUGGAGUCCAGUCAACCAUUUUGACACUUGUAAAUGGAUACUACAAUUUUGGGAGUCCAGUAAACCAUUUUGACACUAGCAAAUGGAUACUACAAUUUUGGUUGCUAUUAGUUUUCUGUUGCUUAAAUUGCGUAAGUGGAUACUACAAUUUUAUUUUUAUUUUUUUGACCGGGGAUGCCUACACAUUGUGCUCCAAAGUUGCAAAGGAAAAAUCAAAGAAAAAAGCUAGAG